rnacentral:lncRNA from 1 species
CUUCCUCCUCUCUGUAAAUGUCUCAAGGCCGAAGACAGGCUGGUUGGGAAAGCUCCGACCAGCAAGGCCAUAUGCUCCCCCUCCCCUACCUAAAACCCCAAAUAGAAACCCUUCCUUUUAGCUUUUUGGGGAGUUUGGGAUUUCAGCGUUAGCUGCCCUCUCUCCUUGCUCAGCGCUGUGCAAAAAUAAAGUUCCUACUUUCUUCCACCACCCCCGGUGUCAGAGAUUGGCUUGCUGCGCAACGGGUGAGGGAACUCACUUCAGGUUCAGUAACAAUUUGGCACCCCAGAUGGGACAAUGUCCCAGGUGGACGUCUCGCCUGUGGCACACCGGCCUCUGGCUAAAGGCCUCUCUUGGAAGCUGUCCUGCAGCUGCCUGAGCCCCUUGUCUCAGGGACAGCCCCAAGUGACUGGCUGCUAGCCAGACGUUGGCCCAUGGCGCUUUUGCUUUGGUGGUGGAAGAAACCAGGUUUAGGACAUAGGAAGACGUCUCUUGUAAGUAGCUGGUAGUUUUUGUUUUUGUCUUUGUGUUAACCUUCUCCAACAGGACCGGCUGGAAAUAAUGGGUACCCUGGCAGCCCUCUGGGCUCCAUUUGUUUUGAAGUCGCCGCGAUGCCCCGGCCAAAUUUUGGUAAGUGCCCCGGGUGUGCACAACCGAGGUCCCUUGUCCUUGCUCACUUGGGAAGAUCUGCAUGGCGCAUCUUCAUUUGUUGGGCACCCACCGAGUGUAGGACACGGACUAAGCUGGGACUGGAGGCGCUUUGGUUUUUGGUUUUGGUCUUUGUUUUGGCUUCCGUUUGUGGCCGAGGGUUUUUGGGAAGGUGCGCUUGUUUGGUAUUUGUUGUUAUCUGUCCGUUUGUCUGUCCUUUUAAAGGUGUCAACAUGGGAGAUGCUGCAUUUAUCCCACCUAAGAGCCCCUUUGGGAAAAACUUUGGCUGGUGGUCGACCUAGAGCUAUAAGCCAAUGUCUAAAGAGGGAUGAUUUUCUUUUGUAACACCAUGUGGCCACAAUAUUCUUUAGACUCCGGACAGAAAAAAAAAUGGCCAAACGAUGGAUCGUCAAGUUGGGAAACUUUUAGAGAGCUCUUAUGAUAAACAACUGUUUUAUUGGCACCUAUGAAAAGCCCAAAUUAAGAGGAAACUAUAAUGACUAGUCUUAAGAACUUAAUCCAACUUGGGGUCUCAGCUUCUCGUAGUCUUACAGAUGCUAAUGAAAAUGUUAAGUUAACAAAGAGAAAUCAGAAAUGGAAGAGUCACAGGACUCGCCCCAAUGGGAUACAUGGAACAGAUAUGGAUGAAGUUAAAACAAAGGUUUUAAUGAAACACUGCCUAAGGUUGGAUGGGCUAAAGGGACCGCCCUAUUGGCUCCCCAACAUUAAAGGACAUCAGACAAACCUGUUCUAUUUACCCCAGUUUGAAAAAUUUAAAAGGUCAGGAGGCAGAAAUCAAAGUGAGAAACCUGACCAACAAUUGUUUGGGGCAACAGUUAGGCUACUGAGAUUAAUAAGACUAUAAAGAUUAAAGUGUUUAAGCUAAUGUUAUAUGCGAGGUUAUGUCAACUUCGCCUGGAUGUUUUCUUUGGGAACAAAUGUUAUGUCUAACUAGGAAUGCUUCUGCUGAACAAUAUUGUAAUACCAAAACCUGUUAAUAGAAUUCUAAUAGAAAUUCAUGGAAAGGACUCUGACACUCUGGAAUACAGGUUUCCAGUAAACGUUCAGAUUGUAAAACUAAACUGGGUAAGAAUUACAGAACUCCAACAGAGAAACUGAUGACCUCACAAACUGCUGACAGAAGAUUAAGAUCAAGAACCGAUUACACAGGACAGAAUAAACUGAUAGGGAUGAUUAUAACUUUAAUGACUUUUUGAUUGAGAUAUUGCUGAUUUUUGAUGUUUUGCUUUUUUCAGAGUGAAGAAAACUUUUUUUCUCUAUUCUCUGAAAGAACUAUGACUUGCAACAAUUUAUAAACAAAAUUGAAACAUUUGUCUUUUCCUCCCUAUCUGAGCCCCCCAAAACGCAAAAACUUCUGAUAAGUAAGUAUUCUUAUUCUUAUGGCAAUAUAGUUGUUUGCAUAAGUGCAAUAAGAAUCUGUUCUUCUUUCAACAGGACACAAUUGGAAACAGUGGUUAUAUUACCAAGGCUUUGACUGGAACAUCAUGUUUGAAAAAACAGAUGGGCUUGAGUAUAACAAGACAGCUUUUGAGGAAUGAAGGUUGACAUUCUGGAAUAAAGCCACUUGGAAAUAUUGGCCUGGUACUGUGCUUAUGGGUUCUGUAACCUGGUAAGGUUGAGCAAAGAAUGUCACUCCCUCUGGCAGGUACCAGGAACCUCAAUAUUUUGGGGAACCUCACGAAGAGAGAGAUUCACCCAAAUCUGCAGGUACUGCAGGCAGAAUGUGAUACAGGUCCUUUGCUUGGCUUUCCUUGAGAGGCCUUUAAAGAUCAACCUGAGAUUCCAUAUAAGGUUCCAGCAAAGCAGAUUUAAAAGAGCCUAUAUGAUAAAUUACUAUUCUUGCUAUGCUUAUUAAAUAGUUAAAUAAUUAUGCCAAAUUUAUUAAAACUAUACAUUUUGCAAACCAGAGUGAAAUUGAGGGUGAUUUUAGGGAGGAAGAUUAUGUUUCAAUGGACACUAUAAUACAUGUUUAUAGAUAUUAGACUUUAGUUUUUUCAAUUGUCUUUGAAAUUUUUAUUUUACUUCUGUUAACUGGACUGGAUCUUGAAUUCUUCACCUCCUGAAAUAUCUGGCUAAAAACCUCCAAACUGAGAUUUUCAGGGUUUUUUCCCCCAUUAUUUUCAUUUAGAGUCAUUGAAAACUAAAUGUGCCCUUUUUCUAAAGCCUUACAAACUGAAGCUGGAGGACCUAAUAGAAACUUCAGAGAGAUUCAUGUCUGCUGCUGUGUAAGCCACUCAAAAAGCUACCUGAGUGCCCGAUGACACCAUCAGAGACAUUUCAAACUGCAGAAGAUGCUUCGACCCUGACUUCCAGGACUCUUGAUUGGCUGCCCCCUGGGCUCAGAAACUGGUUUAUAAUUUGCUCCAACGAUUAACCUCGUUUUUCUCUUUUUGUUUCUCUAGAAAAACUUCGUAUUAAAUACCUGGUUACUUACUUACAUGAUACAGGCCCACCUUCAGGAGCCCACCAGCAUCACCGCCUUAUUAAAAGACUGGUUCAAUGAGAUGAAAUGACCUAUGCCCCAUUUCAGCAGGAAGUAGCUAGAUCCGUCGCCGCCCCAAAUCCCUCAAGAUUGAGGGAGGACAUAAAAUAGGGGGGAGUUGAUAUCGACCCUGAUAUCAGUUUCCCCACAUUAAACUCAGCAUGUAUGGGGUUAAAACCAAAACACUCAUUCCCUGCUUACUCUCUGGCUUCCUGGCUCCAGAAUCCACUAUCCUCCAUGGAGACAGACACCGUCAAGGACAAGCACCUGGACUAUCUCCUCCCACAAAGAGAUACAGACUGGUGGGAAAGCUGGUGACCAGCAAGGUCACAGGCUUCCUCCUCUCUGUAAAUGUCUCAAGGCCAAAGACAGGCUGGUUGGGAAAGCUCCGACCAGCAAGGCCAUAUGCUCC